GAUGAACGCUGGCGGCGUGCCUAAUACAUGCAAGUCGAGCGAACAGACGAGGAGCUUGCUCCCCUGACGUUAGCGGCGGACGGGUGAGUAACACGUGGAUAACCUACCUCUAAGACUGGGAUAACUUCGGGAAACCGGAGAUAAUACCGGAUAAUAUAUUGAACCGCAUGGUUCAAUAGUGAAAGACGGUUUUGCUGUCACUUAUAGAUGGUUCCGCGUCGCAUUAGCUAGUUGGUAAGGUAACGGCUUACCAAGGCGACGAUGCGUAGCCGACCUGAGAGGGUGAUCAGCCACACUGGAACUGAGACACGGUCCAGACUCCUACGGGAGGCAGCAGUGGGGAAUCUUCCGCAAUGGGCGAAAGCCUGACGGAGCAACGCCGCGUGAGUGAUGAAGGUCUUCGGGUCGUAAAACUCUGUUAUUAGGAAAGAACAAAUGUGUAAGUAACUAUGCACGUCUUGACGGUACCUAAUCAGAAAGCCACGGCUAACUACGUG
rnacentral:rRNA from 1 species